rnacentral:rRNA from 1 species
GAUGAACGCUGGCGGCGUGCCUAAUACAUGCAAGUCGAGCGAAUGGAUUAAGAGCUUGCUCUUAUGAAGUUAGCGGCGGACGGGUGAGUAACACGUGGGUAACCUGCCCAUAAGACUGGGAUAACUCCGGGAAACCGGGGCUAAUACCGGAUAACAUUUUGAACCGCAUGGUUCGAAAUUGAAAGGCGGCUUCGGCUGUCACUUAUGGAUGGACCCGCGUCGCAUUAGCUAGUUGGUGAGGUAACGGCUCACCAAGGCAACGAUGCGUAGCCGACCUGGGAGGGUGAUCGGCCACACUGGGACUGAGACACGGCCCAGACUCCUACGGGAGGCGGCAGUAGGGAAUCUUCCGCAAUGGACGAAAGUCUGACGGAGCAACGCCGCGUGAGUGAUGAAGGCUUUCGGGUCGUAAAACUCAGUCGUUAGGGAAGAACAAGUGCUAGUUGAAUAAGCUGGCACCUUGACGGUACCUAACCAGAAAGCCACGGCUAACUACGUGCCAGCCGCCGCCGUAA